rnacentral:rRNA from 1 species
UACUGGUUGAUCCUGCCAGUAGUCAUAUGCUUGUCUCAAAGAUUAAGCCAUGCAUGUCUCAGUGCAGGCCUUUAUACGGUGAAACCGCGAAUGGCUCAUUAAAUCAGCUAUGGUUUAUUGGAUCGUACCCGUUAAAUGGAUAACUGUAAUAACUCUAGAGCUAAUACAUGCCACGAUGCCCUGACCCUCGCGGGGAUGGGUGCACUUAUUAGAUCAGAAGCCAACCGUGCACGGUCGAAAGGCCAUGCAUGUUGCCCUUCUGGUGACUCUGGAUAAUUGUUACAGAUCGCAGUCGGCCUUGAGUCGGCGACGGGUCCUUCAAAUGUCUGCCCUAUCAACUUUCGAUGGUAGGUGACCUGCCUACCAUGGUGAUAACGGGUAACGGGGAAUCAGGGUUCGAUUCCGGAGAGGGAGCCUGAGAAACGGCUACCACUUCCAAGGGAGGCAGCAGGCGCGCAAAUUACCCACUCCCGGUACGGGGAGGUGGUGACGAAAAAUACCGAUGCGGGACUCCCCAAAGAGGCUCCGUAAUCGGAAUGAGUGGACUAUAAAUCCUUUCACGAGGAUCCAUUGGAGGGCAAGUCUGGUGCCAGCAGCCGCGGUAACUCCAGCUCCAAUAGCGUAUAUUAAAGUUGCUGCAGUUAAAAAGCUCGUAGUUGGAUCUCGGUAGGACUGUGACCUGUCGGAUUUGGGUGGAUGGCUGAUGGGGCGUGGACUCUGUCCGUGCUGCCGACGCUGUUCAUUUCAGGCUGACAAGGUGGCGGUGCUACCUUUAAGCCAUGUCUGUGGUGUAAUAGCCGCAGGUGUAGGCGAGUGUCUGGCGACGCCUUGCGUCAGCAGGGCUUGUCGGCUCGUUUGCAUGCUCUUGGAUGCCCUUUAAAAGGUGUCUGUGGGCGGAUGGCACGUUUACUUUGAACAAAUUUGAGUGCUCAAAUCAGGCCGAUGUUGCCUGUAAAGUUUUGCAUGGAAUAAUGGAAUAGGACUUCGGUUCUAUUUCGUUGGUUUUCGGAUCCGAAGUAAUGAUCAAAAGAGACAGGCGGGGACGUUUGUAUGGCUGCGCUAGAGGUGAAAUUCAUGGACCGUAAGCCAGACAAACUAAAAGCGAAAGCAUUUCGUCAAGCAUGUUUUCAUUUGGCCAUGAGCGAAAGUCAGAGGCUCGAAGACGAUCAGAUACCGUCCUAGUUCUGACCAUAAACGAUGCCAACUGACGAUCCGUGGUGGUAGUCUCUCAACCUUCCCCACGGGCAGUCCCCGGGAAACCUUUAAGUCUUUGGGUUCCGGGGGAAGUAUGGUUGCAAAGCUGAAACUUAAAGGAAUUGACGGAAGGGCACCACCAGGAGUGGAGCCUGCGGCUUAAUUUGACUCAACACGGGAAAACUCACCCGGGCCGGACACUAUGAGGAUUGACAGAUUGAUAGCUCUUUCUUGAUUUGGUGGUUGGUGGUGCAUGGCCGUUCUUAGUUGGUGGAGCGAUUUGUCUGGUUAAUUCCGAUAACGAACGAGACUCCAGCCUGCUAAUUAGUGCACUUGUCUACUGUGCCUGUGUAGGCGGCGCCGUCGAUAUUGAGGCCGAGAGGCCGGGCUGUGGCUGCUUCUGGUGGCUGCUGUUUGGUAUUUUGGCUUUCAGUUGGUGUGGCGUUAGCGUCCGGGCGCGGCGCGAGUGAUUACUUCUUAGAGGGACAAGCGGUAGAAAGCCGCACGAAAUAGAGCAAUAACAGGUCUGUGAUGCCCUUAGAUGUCCGGGGCCGCACGCGCGCUACAAUGACGGUGGCAACGAGUGAGACCUUCUGGCCCGAAAGGGUUGGGUAAACUGGUCAAUCACCGUCAUGACAGGGAUCGGGGCUUGGAAUUGUUCCCCGUGAACGAGGAAUUCCUAGUAAGUGCAAGUCAUAAGCUUGCGCUGAUUACGUCCCUGCCCUUUGUACACACCGCCCGUCGCUACUACCGAUUGAAUGGUUUAGUAAGGUCCUUAGAUUGGUGCCAUUGCGGCAGUUACCGUGAGGUGACGGCCCGACAGGCACCGAGAAG